AACGGCAUUGCCCUCCGUGUCCCCACCCCCAAUGUCUCGGUGGUUGACCUCGUGGUGCAAGUGUCGAAGAAGACGUUUGCGGAGGAGGUGAACGCUGCGUUCAGGGAGAGCGCGGACAACGAGCUCAAGGGGAUAUUGUCGGUGUGCGAUGAGCCGCUCGUGUCGGUGGAUUUCAGGUGCACGGAUGUGUCUUCGACGGUGGAUUCGUCUUUGACGAUGGUGAUGGGGGAUGACAUGGUGAAGGUGAUUGCAUGGUAUGAUAACGAGUGGGGGUACUCGCAGAGGGUGGUUGACCUUGCUGACAUUGUUGCCAACAACUGGGAGUAAGCAAGCUAGGCGGCCUACGUACGUACUUGAUCUUUUUAUGUUGAAUGUUACUCUCUUGGAUCCAACACAGUCGAAACUGUGCUUCAUAUAUAUAUAUGAUCAUCAUCGCUAUAUAUCAUUCAUUUCCCUUUUUACUUUUUGCUUCGGAAACAAAAUAAAAUAAUUAAUUUUCUAUGAAUUUGACGGCGGUCUUCCUUUCUUUUAUUGCCUUGCUUACUUUCUACUUCUUACUAUUUUAC
rnacentral:lncRNA from 1 species